CUUUUUGCUAUUUCUUGGGCCGCUCCCGCGGCAUAUGGAGGUUCUCAGGCUAGGGGUCGAAUUGGAGCUGUAGCCACGGGCCUACACCAGGGCCACAGCAACGCGGGAUCCGAGCCGCGUCUACAAGCUACACCACAGUUCACGGCAACGCAGGAUCAUUAACCCACUGAGCAAGGCCAGAGACCGAACCCACAACCUCAUGGUUCGGAUUCGUUAACCACUGCGCCACGACGGGAUCUCCGGAAGAAUUAUUCUUAAAAUGGUCAUACUACCUCCAGAGCAACCACACAUUUAAUGUGAUCCCUAUCAAAAAAACGCAUAAUGUAUUUCCACAGAACUAGAAUAAAUAAUACUAAAAUUUAUAUGGAACCACAAAGACCCAGAAUUGCCAAAGCAAUCUUAGAAAAACAAAUAUUAUACGAUAUCACUUAUUUUUAGAAUCUGAAUAUAAUACAAAUGAGUCUAUAUACAAAAUAAAGAACAGUUUUACAAGUAUAGAAAACAAACUUAUGGUUACCUAAGGGAAAUGGGGGGGAUAAAUUGGAUUAAGGGACUGAAAGAUAAAAACUGCUGUACAUAAAAUAGAUAAGCAACAAGAGUUUACUGUAUAACACAGGGAACUAUAUUCAAUAUCUUAUAAUAACCUAUAAUGGAAAAUAAUCUAAAGAAAUAUAUAACUGAAUCACCUUGCUAUAACCUGAAACUAACACAAUAUUGUGAAUCAACUAUACUUCAAUUUAAAAAAAAAAGAGGGUCCAGAUUAUUUUAUCUUUCACCAUAGUGUUUUCUUCAUAAUUAUGCAAAUAUAGCAAAAUACAAUCAUCUUAACCCAUUUAGAAAUUCAUUAGGAACAAAACUAGAUUGCAAUAUUUAUAAUAUUAAGUCCAUUCCUGAUUUUCACUGGUGCAAGAGCCUAAAUCUCCUAGAUUUUUUAAUAUAACCCUGACAGGAAUUCCCAUCAUGGCUCAGCAGAAAUGAAUCUGACUAGCAUCCAUGAGGGCACAGGUUCUAUCCUUGGCCCCGUUCAGUGGGUUAAGGAUCCGGUGUUGCUGUAAGCUGUGGUAUAGCUGUGUUGCUGUGGUUGUGGCUAGCCUGGGAACCUCCAUAUACCAUGGGUGCAGCCCUAAAAAAAGAGACAAAUAUAUAUAUUUAUAUAUUCUGUCAGGGACAUGUAUAUCCCUGUCAGAAAUAUUUCCUGAGCCCCAGAACAGUACUGGUUUCCAUCUCUGCUCUCUGUAAGUUUCAGUCAAUCUCUAGACCCUAAGUAAAUUUUCUUGAUGCAAGCUCUCUCACUGGCAGAUCUUAGUUCCUAAGCACCAAGAAACUCUAGAUAAUUUACUCUGCAUUUUAGAAGCUUUUAGCUUAGUUCCCCUGCAGCUCUAGAACCUAUCUGGAAACAAUAAGUAUUUGAGUCUCUUCAAGCUUCCAAACUGCCAUAUCAGCCCCCUGUAACUGCUAAAAGCUCAGGUGGUCACUCUUACUCCCAGCAGAGUUCUGCUUCAUCAGCGAGCCUGCUCCUCAGGUCAUGCUCAAAAUUGGCAGAUGACUCAGGUUGAAAAAUGACUAGAGUAGUCAGCUUCUCACCUCUCAAGAUUUAGGGUUUAUCUCAUCUCUGUUACUUCUACAUUUCCCCCAUGCAUUCAGAAAUAUGAAGUUUGCAAUUUAUCUGUUGGUUUCAAGUUGUUGCAGUGGGAACAUUACCCUGUCAGCUUCUACUGUAUCCUUCUGAGAAGCAGAAGUCUACCCUAUCUAGAAGCAGAAAACCCGUUAGCAAUAUUUUGGUUGCAAGUAGCAAACAAGCCAAAGCAAACUGGCUUAAGAAAAAAGAAAUUUCUUGUUUCAGCUAACUGAAAAGUCCAUGUGUAAGUCUCCUUUCAGCCAUAGGCAAUACAGGAAUAUUUUUAAAAUCUCACUGGCUAUAGUCAGUCAUGCUCCCAUUCCUGUCUUAGUCAUCACCCAAACUAAGCGGACUUAGAGUGGGGAUGCAUGACUUCUCAGAGCAAAAUAUGUAUUAUGUUAUUAGAGGAAAAACAAGUAGAUUGUGGGCAGUCAGAGCAAUUGCUCACUAUGCUUGACCAGUCCAGCUGUCAUUCAUUUAUUUGUCAUCCCAACUGCCGUAGUUUAUACCAGUCAUUUAACCACUGAAAUUCAUUAUUUUGACUUGUGUGGUGCUCAGGGUAAGCUGAAACCUAGCUUUCAAUAUUCUUUUGAUACCCAAAGCAUAAAAAUUCAUGCUGGACUGUUAAUAGAUACUUAAUAAAUACCUGUGCCUUGGUCAGCCCUGGAGUAGGUUACCUGACUGCAUUUCACACUGUAGGUCAGCAGCUGAAGAAGGAUUAGUUUCUCGGUUUUUAACUCUAAUCAUGUGCUACUAAGGACUGUCAGAAGAAAGCACUUUAAAAUAAGCCAUGGGUUAUUGUUGUAUAUUUUAUAUAGUUCUCCUUUGAAGGAAAACUAAAUGUGAAAAUGGGUUGAGGAUGCCUAGCUAAUCCCUGAGCCAUUUCACUGAUGUGCAAUAUUGGGUUCAGCAUGUCUGCAUUUGCGGUGACAUCACUUAUCCCAUUUUCCACCUUCCAGGCAGGCAAUUAUGGGAGAGACUUCAGUGCUGCUCUCCAAGAGACUAGACUGAGGGCUGAAUGGAACAGCCCCACUCCCUCCCAACUACUUGAUGUGUCUCUCCCAACAAAGGAAAUGGUUUUGAAUUCUUCCUUUCACCUGCUUCUGCCAGAAAUCUCAUAAAAGAGUCUACACUUUGAGCCUGAGCUUAAAACUAGGAACUGCCUGAUACAGUCAGUGGAGGGUUAGAAUUAACAGACCAUGCUAUUUCCAGCAUAUGCGCAGAACCCAAGUGGCUGUAUUGACUAAAGCCACUUGAAAGAGAAAGACCUAAAGGAAUUAAUAAAUUAGAGCAAAUGUGUAGUGUGGUGAGCAUAGUUACUGGUGUCAGAAUCCUGGCUCUGUCAGUGGGUGGCCUUGGGCCUCACAUUUCUGAUUUGUAACAUAGAGGUACUGUAAUUAAUUGGAAUAAUGUAUGUGAAAUGCUUAGCAUGGUGCCAGGCAUAACCAAUAAAAAAUAGUCAUUACUGGUAUUUUUAUUGAACUAUGCAGGAAACUUUAUGGAUAGCAUCACCCCCUAUUUAUCACUAUGGUAAUGCUAGCAUUGCAAAAGCCACAGAUAAGUGCUAAAGAUAAGCAGAGAAAGCUUAAGGAUUUGGGUUUUUUUUAAUGUGUACAGGCGUGCUCUUCUGGCACAGCACGUUAAGGAUCCGGUGUUGUCCAUGCAUCACCUCUGGUCACUGUUGUGGCUCAGGUUUAAUCCCCGACCCAGGAACUUCCACAUGCCAUGGGUGUGGUCAAAAAAAUUUUUUUGGAAGUGUCCAUUUUUUUUCCCUGCACAUCAAAAUACCCAAACCGUUUUGAAUUUCUGCAGACCCAAGGGCAGAGGUUAUCAUUAAAAGUUAACACCAUUAACUAAGAUGGGGAAAAAUUAGAGAUACAUUCCUAUGAGUACCUAUAUCGCUCAGAACUCAUACAAAAUCUCCUUAGACUGUAGUAUACAAACUCAUAUUAAAUGCUGUUUUUUUCCUUGGAGUUCCCACUGUGGUGCAGCGGAAAUGAAUCUGACUGGUAUCCAUAAAGAUGCGGGUUCAAUCCCUGGCCUCUCUCAGAGGACUGGGGAUCCGGCGUUGCUGAAAGCUGUGGUGUAGGUUGCAGGCGCAGUUCAGAUCCCGCAUUGCUGUGGCUGCGGUAUAGGCCAGCAGCUAUAGUUCUGGUCUGACCCCUAGCCUAAAUUGAAAGCAAAGAGUAUGCAAGUUCUAUUUUGCCACGAGUUUUUACUUCUUUCCUCUUUCCCUAUUUUAAACCUCAUCCCUGAGAAUUUUCUGUUCACCUAGUUAUCGCAGAUAUUUACUCAUUUGUGGUUGAGUUGAAAAAUAUAUAUAGUAUUGGCCAGGCCCUAUGCCACAGACACGAAAUCUAUGUCCUGCCCACAGUCCAGUCCAGGUGAAGGUAAGGAAACAGAAUAUUUUAACACCGUGAGAGAAAUGUCCACAAAUUGUGAGAAAGUAACAGAAUCUGAGGGUUAAAGAAUGGAUGGGAGUCAAGAAAAGGGGUCAUGGACUGAGAAUCUUGGCAUGACCAAAGGUACAGAGGCAAGAGAUAGCUCAUCAUGGCAUGAAACUGAAAACCAUUUGAUGGUGUUCAUGCAGAAAGUUCAAAGUAGUAAGUGGCAAAAGAAUUCUGGGGAAGCAGACAAGGGCAAAAUAGUAAGGUCCCUCUCUUUUGCUUUAACAACUUUGAGCUUCUUUCUGUACAUAGUGGGGAGCCACUGAAGGGCCUUAAAAUAACAAGCGACAUGGUCAGAUUUCACAUAUUAGAUAGAUUACAGAGUGGAGGAGGUCAUUCGAGGCUGUGGCCAGAGGCAGCAAGACCAGCUAUGAAUCAUAAUAAUCACCAAUAAUCAAGGCUAGAAACCCAAAGGCCUGAAAUGCAGGCAGUGGUAGCUGACAGAGAGGAAAUUAGGGAAAGAUGUCUAGGGAAGAUGAAACUUGAUGUUUUUCCAAAAUAAUCCUUAAAAAAAAUGAGAAAACAUUUAAAAGUGAAAGAUAAAGUAUAAAAAAAAAAAUAGAAACCCAUGAGUCUACAUAAUGUGUUUUCUAAGGAAGUUAAUUAUGCUAGCUCAUAUUUUACCAAAUAGGCAGCUUCAGAAAUGUUCCUGGCCUCUAUCCUAUUUCCCUUUGAUCCUGGGACAAACUUGGGGUGACACCACAUCUAGCAGUGAAGGCUCCAUCCAUGGCCUUGAUUUCGCUCCUUCUAAGCAUGAUGGUGUCAGGUUCUCAGGCUUUAGAUCUUGAGGCCAUGGCUAUGCAUCCUCCUCAUCUCCUACAACUGACAGUCAGGGUCCUGGGCCCGGAGUCCUCAAAGGAAAAAGGUGCUUCCUUAUUGGCUUCCUAAUACCUCUUCUUAGGCUUCAGGCCAUUUUUCUUCAUCUUUAUAUUUACUUCUAGCAUCUGUCUUGAUAUCUUUCCUCAAAGUAGAACUUCUCAGAAUUCCAACCAGAGAAGUUCUCUGAGCCCUGACCAAUAAAUACCUUUUUAUUUUGUACUGUUUCAGAGAACACAAUGGUGGGGAGACAAAUUAUAUUCUUCAGUGGCAAAUGUAUUGUUCACUAUGGUCCCACAAACUGUGCCCUGCAGGCUAAAUCUGCUCCACUAUAUGUUUUAAUAAAGUUUUACUGGAACAGAGCCACUCUCCUUCAAUUUAGGCAUUUUCUCAGUUGCAUGGGCGCUACUGUAGCAGAGUUGAGUAGUUGUUUCCAUGAGCUGAGACUAUGUGUCUCAGAACCUUAAAAUAUGUAUCACAUGGCCCCUUUUUAUCCUCCCCUUCCCAGGGCAUGUGGAAGUCCCCAAGCUAGGGGUUGAACCCAUGCCACAGCAGUGGGAUCAUUAACCCACGAAGCCACCAAUGAACUCCUCAUAUGGCCCUUUACCAAAAAAAGUGUGUUGAACCUUUCUCUAAACCAUCAUUAAGACCGAUUUUUCUCAGUAGUUUUAUUUAUCUUAUAGUAAAUGCCCAUAUUCUUGUAGCUUUUGGAACUCUCCCCAGCUCCCUACCACAGUUGCUAUGUCCCAACCUCAGUGCCUGUGUCCCAUGGGAGGACAGUCUUCAGUUUCACCAACUCCUUUCUCAGAGUUCACAAGAGUGGCUAUCCAGAAUUCUAUUAAUAAAUUCUACAAAAUCUCUACAGAAAAUUGUUUUUCAUAUAUGGUAUCAGUUUUUAAAAUUUGCUCUGAGCAGGACAUGAAAGAGUAUUGAGUGAUUAGGUCUCUAUGAAAUGGUGCAAUUAGUUUUCCUCCUUUGUUCUCUUUCCUACAAGGCAUAUCAGCAGAGCAAGAGACAUGAGAGAAGAAGCAAAACUGAAAUUCUUCAAUAAGCCGUAUACCAGACAAUCAACUCGUGAUAACUAAAUUUAGCUGAACCACUUUUCAAGGGAUAUAAAAUGUCCUUGAUUUUCCUGUAAUAUAAUAAGAUAAUUCAUAUCUGUUUUUCCUUAAAGUAGUAUUUUGUUAAGAGACAAUACCAUUUAAUGAUUUAGAAUAAGGACUCUGUUCUUUGUUAAAUACCACCAUCCUUAUUCAUUCUUUUAUGUCACUUUGUACCUCAGUUUUCUCACCUGUAAAAUAGGAAUAAUACUGUAUUAUCUAAUAGUGUUUUAUCUAAUAGCGUUUUAUGAGUUAAUAUAUGCAAAAUGCUUAAAUAGAUAAAUACUGUUACUGUAUUUUUCUUUCUCGCAUUCUGUUUGUCUCUAUUCUCACAGUGAUGAGUAUUUCCAUUUAGAAG
rnacentral:lncRNA from 1 species